AGAAAUGGACAACAUGGGAAGUAAAUGAAAGUUUCAAUAGAGCAGUGUCCCCCUGCCAGCUUUGACAGAUGUGUCCUCCAGACAUCAGGAUUGUCUCGCACACUUAUUUGCAAGAAUUUAUUCCCUGGGCUACCAGACUUUCCUGUGGAAUAAGUGGAGAUUCAAGAGGAAAGUAGCCGAGGAAUGCCCGUGAUGAUAGAAGAGGCAUAGGCCUGGUAAAAAUAUCAUGAUAUUUCCCUAUAGCGGAAGUCUUGUCAACAGUAAUUAAUUGAUUGUCAAACUCAAUAUAUACCACCAGCAGACAUACAAAUGAUGGGAUCAAAUUACACUGUAUCUCCAUUGCAGAUGAACACACAAUCAACACUCCAGAAAAUGUCAAAAGCCCAUUUUCUGUUCUAUCCAUAAUCCAAGUAGAAAACUUUUAUCGUGCAAAAGUCUGGCGGACACAAUGGUCUAAACGUGGAGAGCAGGAGGGAGGAUACAAUGGUCUAA